rnacentral:rRNA from 1 species
GAUGAACGCUGGCGGCGUGCCUAAUACAUGCAAGUCGAGCGAACGGACGAGAAGCUUGCUUUUCUGAUGUUAGCGGCGGACGGGUGAGUAACACGUGGAUAACCUACCUAUAAGACUGGGAUAACUUCGGGAAACCGGAGCUAAUACCGGAUAAUAUUUUGAACCGCAUGGUUCAAAAGUGAAAGACGGUCUUGCUGUCACUUAUAGAUGGAUCCGCGCUGCAUUAGCUAGUUGGUAAGGUAACGGCUUACCAAGGCAACGAUGCAUAGCCGACCUGAGAGGGUGAUCGGCCACACUGGAACUGAGACACGGUCCAGACUCCUACGGGAGGCAGCAGUAGGGAAUCUUCCGCAAUGGGCGAAAGCCUGACGGAGCAACGCCGCGUGAGUGAUGAAGGUCUUCGGAUCGUAAAACUCUGUUAUUAGGGAAGAACAUAUGUGUAAGUAACUGUGCACAUCUUGACGGUACCUAAUCAGAAAGCCACGGCUAACUACGUGCCAGCAGCCGCGGUAAUACGUAGGUGGCAAGCGUUAUCCGGAAUUAUUGGGCGUAAAGCGCGCGUAGGCGGUUUUUUAAGUCUGAUGUGAAAGCCCACGGCUCAACCGUGGAGGGUCAUUGGAAACUGGAAAACUUGAGUGCAGAAGAGGAAAGUGGAAUUCCAUGUGUAGCGGUGAAAUGCGCAGAGAUGUGGAGGAACACCAGUGGCGAAGGCGACUUUCUGGUCUGUAACUGACGCUGAUGUGCGAAAGCGUGGGGAUCAAACAGGAUUAGAUACCCUGGUAGUCCACGCCGUAAACGAUGAGUGCUAAGUGUUAGGGGGUUUCCGCCCCUUAGUGCUGCAGCUAACGCAUUAAGCACUCCGCCUGGGGAGUACGACCGCAAGGUUGAAACUCAAAGGAAUUGACGGGGGCCCGCACAAGCGGUGGAGCAUGUGGUUUAAUUCGAAGCAACGCGAAGAACCUUACCAAAUCUUGACAUCUUUUGACAACUCUAGAGAUAGAGCCUUCCCCUUCGGGGGACAAAGUGACAGGUGGUGCAUGGUUGUCGUCAGCUCGUGUCGUGAGAUGUUGGGUUAAGUCCCGCAACGAGCGCAACCCUUAAGCUUAGUUGCCAUCAUUAAGUUGGGCACUCUAAGUUGACUGCCGGUGACAAACCGGAGGAAGGUGGGGAUGACGUCAAAUCAUCAUGCCCCUUAUGAUUUGGGCUACACACGUGCUACAAUGGACAAUACAAAGGGCAGCGAAACCGCGAGGUCAAGCAAAUCCCAUAAAGUUGUUCUCAGUUCGGAUUGUAGUCUGCAACUCGACUACAUGAAGCUGGAAUCGCUAGUAAUCGUAGAUCAGCAUGCUACGGUGAAUACGUUCCCGGGUCU